rnacentral:rRNA from 1 species
ACUCCUACGGGAGGCAGCAGUGGGGAAUUUUGGACAAUGGGGGCAACCCUGAUCCAGCCAUGCCGGGUGAGUGAAGAAGGCCUUCGGUUUGUAAAGCUCUUUCGCCCGGGAAGUAAUCGCAUGGGUUUAUACCCUGUGCGGAUGACGGUACCGGCAUAAGAAGCACCGGCUAACUACGUGCCAGCAGCCGCGGUAAUACGU